rnacentral:rRNA from 1 species
ACCCGCUGAACUUAAGCAUCAAUAAGCGGAGGAAAAGAAACCAACAGGGAUUGCCUUAGUAACGGCGAGUGAAGCGGCAACAGCUCAAAUUUGAAAUCUGGCCUCUUUGGGGUCCGAGUUGUAAUUUGCAGAGGGCGCUUUGGCGUUGGCAGCGGUCCAAGUUCCUUGGAACAGGACGUCACAGAGGGUGAGAAUCCCGUACGUGGUCGCUAGCCUUCGCCGUGUAAAGCCCCUUCGACGAGUCGAGUUGUUUGGGAAUGCAGCUCUAAAUGGGAGGUAAAUUUCUUCUAAAGCUAAAUACUGGCCAGAGACCGAUAGCGCACAAGUAGAGUGAUCGAAAGAUGAAAAGCACUUUGGAAAGAGAGUCAAACAGCACGUGAAAUUGUUGAAAGGGAAGCGCUUGCAGCCAGACUUGCCUGUAGUUGCUCAUCCGGGCUUUUGCCCGGUGCACUCUUCUGCGGGCAGGCCAGCAUCAGUUUGGGCGGUUGGAUAAAGGUCUCUGUCAUGUACCUCUCUUCGGGGAGGCCUUAUAGGGGAGACGACAUGCAACCAGCCCAGACUGAGGUCCGCGCAUUUGCUAGGAUGCUGGCGUAAUGGCUGU